CACGGGGGGAGCAAGCGUUGUUCGGAAUCACUGGGCGUAAAGGGCGUGUGAGGCGGUCAGGUAAGUGGGAUGUGAAAGGCCCUCGGCCUCACCCGAGGAUCUGCAUCUCAAACUGCCGGGCUUGAGUAUGGGAGAGGUGAGUGGAAUUUCCGGUGUAGCGGUGAAAUGCGUAGAUAUCGGAAGGAACACCUGUGGCGAAAGCGGCUCACUGGACCAUAACUGACGCUGAGGCGCGAAAGCUAGGGGAGCAAACAGG
rnacentral:rRNA from 1 species